CGAACGGUCGCUGGAAAAUCGGAGUCUUCUUCAUCCCAAACUGGAGAUGGAGUUGUAGCGGGCAGGUUCAUCUUUAAUUUCAGGGAACAUCAGCCGUCUGGCAAAUAGGAAUGAUCUGCCCUGCGGGAUAACUAGCACUCAGUCUGCAGUUCAGAGGCUGGUGUCUGAGGAGAAGGCUACUGCAGCUGCUGAUGGUGCUGUUCCUGUUACUUGUAGCAUUGCUGGUGAUGCUCUCGUUGACCCUUAUCAGACAGGCAAAGUUAAAUAAAGGCUGCAUA